AUGGCAAAGGGAGAGAGAGAGAGCAGAGAACCCAACUGGGCCUCCCUAGGAAAAUUUCCGCGCCGGCCCACCUGGACCACCCGCACCCAGGCCGGCCUCCAAGGCCCAGUCUCUCCCCGAUCUAACCUAGCCGCUAGGAGCCCGAUCCCCUCCUCACCCUCUCGCUCGACCCCUCUCUCUCGUUUCCCUGUUCGCGCCGCCAGGGACGAGCGUAGUCGCCGCCUCCCGAUCCGACGUCCUGCGUCCUCCUCCGCCUUCGAUCCGGUGCCGCUGGAGGCCACCAGCGCCGCCCAGGCGCCGCAGAUCCUCCUCAAGGCGCCUCCUUCCUUCACCGGCCUCCUCCUCACGCCGGUCGCCAGGGACGCGCCUCCCUGCUACCGAAGACGCCGCCAAGCGCGCCCCCGUUGCCCGGUCGCCGGACCUCGCCGCAUCCGGUCGUCUCCGGCGCCGCACCACCGGAGCUGCUCCUUCCCCGCGACCUUGAGCCCCAUUCACGCACGCACAACACCCGCAAAGGCGCUGCUUCUCUGGAGGCCGCGUCCCAGCGAACUCCUCCGCCGCCCCUUGUCUCGUCCACACGUCGCCCAGCGACCUCCGCCACCAGUCGCGCCUUCUUCUGUGUCGUCGCCUCGUUGUGACACCAUGCCUCGCCGCCUCGGCCUCGCCAACUUUGCCGAGACCCUGCCUCCGUCUCUAGUCGCCACCAGUGAGAAGCGUCGCCGAGCCACGCGCCCCUGUUCUUCCUCGCCCGUUCAACGCGCCACCAAGCCGACAGGACGCCCCUCUGUCGCUGGAAGGUCACCCGCUCGGUCGUCGCUCUUGAUUUGCUGGAGGAGAGGACCAGCGCCAUCCCAUGAUGCCCCUGCGCACCAAGUCCCUCCACCGGAGCCGCACCUUGCUGCUGCUGCAGGCCAUGAGCUCUCCAGCUACCGCAGGAACGCCAUGGUCAAGACCACCUCCACGAAGAACACAAGACGCAUCCUCCGUGCACUCCCGCUUGUGGCUGUUAACGUCAAGACCAUCUCGGUUUUUCGCCAAGCACCACCACCGGCAAGUACAACUACACCACGUUGA
rnacentral:rRNA from 1 species